rnacentral:rRNA from 1 species
AGCGAACGCUGGCGGCAGGCUUAACACAUGCAAGUCGAGCGCACGUAGCAAUACGUGAGCGGCAGACGGGAGAGUAACACGUGGGAACGUACCCUUCGGUUCGGAAUAACUCAGGGAAACUUGAGCUAAUACCGGAUACGUCCGAAAGGAGAAAGAUUUAUCGCCGAGGGAUCGGCCCGCGUCCGAUUAGCUUGUUGGUGGGGUAAUGGCCCACCAAGGCGACGAUCGGUAGCUGGUCUGAGAGGAUGAUCAGCCUCACUGGGACUGAGACACGGCCCAGACUCCUACGGGAGGCAGCAGUGGGGAAUAUUGGACAAUGGGCGCAAGCCUGAUCCAGCCAUGCCGCGUGGGUGAUGAAGGCCUUAGGGUUGUAAAGCCCUUUCGGCGGGGAAGAUAAUGACGGUACCCGCAGAAGAAGCCCCGGCUAACUUCGUGCCAGCCGCCGCGGUAAGAC